CAAUGAUUAAUUUUUGCUGAAUGCGCAUAGCACCUUGGUACUAUUAGAGGAAGAAAAGUUUUUAUCGAUAAUUAAAGGUCUUCAGUCAGUAAUCAGUGUUCAAAGUGUGGAGAAUGAAGUAUGCUGGAAAGAACCCCAAAGCGAUGGUCUCCGGAAGGAACCGCAAGGCAUAUAAGAGACUGCUUUUAGAGACGAAGAAAAGCCGGGAAUCGACCAGCGGACUCAGCAGAUCGUCCAAGAAGGGAGGCCACGGCGGAAAGUUCACGUGGAUCGGCCAAGACUACUGGCAGAUGGAGAUUGGCCCGGUGGCUCUGGAUGCCAAUGAUCCAAACUUCGACGAUCCGAGGACGUAUGAUCGGAACGUCGGAUGCGUUUUGUAAUUAUCUUUCAGUGUCACUGUUUAUGCUUUCUAUUAAACUUAAUCUAGUUUAACCUACCAUUUGAUAUUACUUUUAUUAUUGAUGUAAUUUAA